rnacentral:rRNA from 1 species
AUUCCGGUUGAUCCUGCCGGAGGCCAUUGCUAUCGGAGUCCGAUUUAGCCAUGCUAGUCGCACGAGUUUAGACUCGUGGCGAAAAGCUCAGUGACACGUGGCCAAACUACCCUAUGGACGGAACUAACCUCGGGAAACUGAGGCUAAUGUCCGAUACGGCUCUCACGCUGGAACGCCGAGAGCCGGAAACGCCCCGGCGCCAUAGGAUGUGGCUGCGGCCGAUUAGGUUGACGGUGGGGUAACGGCCCACCGUGCCAAUAAUCGGUAUGGGUCAUGAGAGUGAGAACCCAGAGACGGUAUCUGAGACAAGAUACCGGGCCCUACGGGGCGCAGCAGGCGCGAAACCUUUACACUGCACGACAGUGCGAUAAGGGGACUCCGAGUGCGAGGGCAUACAGUCCUCGCUUUUCUGUACCGUAGGGUGGUACAGGAACAAGUGCUGGGCAAGACCGGUGCCAGCCGCCGCGGUAAUACCGGCAGCACGAGUGAUGGCCGAUAUUAUUGGGCCUAAAGCGUCCGUAGCU